rnacentral:piRNA from 1 species
UGCAGAACACAGUCCCAAACCAAAGU